rnacentral:rRNA from 1 species
CAGCCGCCGCGGGAAUACGGAGGGUGCAAGCGUUAAUCGGAAUUACUGGGCGUAAAGCGCACGCAGGCGGUCUGUCAAGUCAGAUGUGAAAUCCCCGGGCUUAACCUGGGAACUGCAUUUGAAACUGGCAGGCUAGAGUCUUGUAGAGGGGGGUAGAAUUCCAGGUGUAGCGGUGAAAUGCGUAGAGAUCUGGAGGAAUACCGGUGGCGAAGGCGGCCCCCUGGACAAAGACUGACGCUCAGGUGCGAAAGCGUGGGGAGCUAACAGGAUUAGAUACCCCAGUAGUCCCUGUCUCUUAUAU